UGGUGGAUACUAGUUGGUGGACUAAACUUGGUGCGAAAAAUGGCUACAGUGUCUCAAUUAAAUAUGGUGAACGGGGGUCUUGGCGUUCACGAGCACCCGGGGAUGCUGGGAGGCAUGAACGCCCAGAUGAACGCCGGACUACAGCAAAGUAUGGGAGGGAUACCGAUGAAGGAUCACGACGCGAUCAAAUUGUUCGUUGGGCAGAUUCCCCGGAAUUUGGAGGAGAAGGAUCUGCGUCCGAUUUUCGAGGAAUUUGGUCAGAUAUACGAGCUCACUGUACUCAAGGAUCGCUUCACAGGGAUGCAUAAAGGAUGUGCGUUUUUGACAUAUUGUCUCCGUGAUUCAGCAAUAAAGGCUCAACAAGCAUUACAUGAACAGAAGACACUGCCUGGGAUGAACCGUCCAAUGCAAGUGAAGCCGGCAGACAGUGAAAGUAGGGCAGAGGACAGGAAGCUUUUUGUUGGCAUGCUCAAUAAACAACAAACUGAAGAUGAUGUAAGACGUCUUUUCGAUCCUUUUGGUACGAUUGAAGAGUGCACAAUAUUACGAGACCAGAACGGAAACAGUAAAGGCUGUGCAUUUGUAAAGUUUAGUUCACACAACGAAGCGCAGGCAGCAAUCAACGCACUUCAUGGGAGUCAGACCAUGCCCAAUGGACAUCCUGAUUCUUUGAUUCCAUUAGUCGGAGCCUCUUCUAGUUUAGUCGUGAAAUUCGCCGAUACAGAAAAAGAACGUCAGCUCAGAAGAAUACAACAAAUGGCGGGCCCACUCGGUUUCCUCAACCCGUUCGCGUUGUCUCAGCUAAACGCGUACGGCGCGUAUGCCCAGUGCUCUGCAGUUCCGAGGGACAAUUUGCAAUCUCCAACUCCAUCUCAACAGGUUCAGCAACAGAUGACAUUGAUGGCUGCCUCCGCCGCACAAUCGGGCGCCGGGUACAUCAACCCGAUGGCUGCGCUCGCUGCGUCGCAGGUUCAGAAUAUACACCAGGUGGCGCCUAACGGUAUGUCGACGUCUUCACUCACGCCUACCACAGCCACAGGCACGACAGCCAUAAACGGAGCGCCACCUAACAUGUUGUCGCCAACCGUUCCCAGCGUUGUCGUACCACAAGCAAACGGGCAAACCGGCGCGGAGAUAUACGCCAACGGUAUCCCACAAUACCCGCAGGCGAUAAAUGGCGAUCCCUUACAGCAGGCUUAUCAGGGGAUGCAGCAGUACUCUGGGAUAGAGUUCUCCCAAGACCUAGAAGGAAAGGCCUGGAUAGCAAACUUCGCAGGCUAUCCAGCAGCGUACGCGGGAAACUUUCAGCAUCUUGCUCAACACGCCGCGAUGAUCCCGGCGAUACAGAAGGAAGGAAAGCCACUUAUCGGUCAUGACGGUGUUAAUUACUAUUGCUUGCCCCAGGAGUCUCUCUCACAGGGGGGUAACACCAUACAAGCAGCGAAUUUGGAAAUGGGACCUGAAGGCUGCAAUCUGUUCAUUUAUCAUCUGCCUCAAGAAUUCGGCGAUUCAGAACUUGCUCAGAUGUUCCUGCCGUUCGGGAAUGUGAUCAGCGCAAAGGUCUACGUCGACCGCGCAACGAACCAAAGCAAAUGUUUCGGCUUUGUGAGUUUUGACAACCCUACAAGUGCUCAGGCGGCCAUCCAGGCAAUGAACGGAUUCCAGAUCGGGAUGAAGCGCUUGAAAGUCCAGUUAAAGAGACCCAAGGACGCCAACAGGCCCUAUUAAAAUCACAAAUUGUCUUCCAAAAAUCGACGGUGAUAUGAACAUGACGAGCGCAUUUUGCUCAACUUGGUUGCCAUGACAACCAUUCUCCAAAAUGGUGGCAGUCACCAGAUGGCGGCUGGAAAUCUAAAGAAAACGGUGCAAGAGUCAAAAUGACCAAAACGGUUGCUACGACAACCUCUGGUUGCUAUGUCAACCACACUGGUUGCUACGUCACGGAAUCAAACAAGAUAGACCUCAGAAGAUAACAGUCGUAAAAUUGUUCGUUUGAUAACGAGAAGCACAGACGAGAGAGCCAUUUUGAGUUAUGGUUGCCGUGGUGAUGGUGUGUUGCCUGGCAACCUUUUGGUUGCCAUGUCAACUAUGAUUGUUGUUUUCUGGUUGCCUAGUUACGAGUGGAGGUAAUCACAUCCUGAAGUAGCAUACAUAUCAAAUCAUCAAUUAGUGUCAGAACUAAUUGAUGUAAUUAGGUAAUUAGUCUUAAUUGAACAAUAUUAACUAAUUAAUAGAUUAUGCUAGAAUUUUAAGGAUGUAUUUAGCAACUUUUUUCGCACGCAUCUUUUGCCCACCGAGUCACAAUGCUAUUUUUAGAAAGUGACGACUUGUUUAUUAUGCUAUCGAAUAUUUUAAAUUGAAAAAUUUGUUGAUAAAUUGUAGAAUGAUCAUUCCUCGGUUAUCUAUAGGUAAUACAAUGUAUGUAAAACAUUACAUUACGUAUGGAUGAUGUGCUAUAAAUAGAAAUGCACUGUGUACUCAUAAUGCAUUGGAUUAUACAUACAUACAAUGCAUUAUGAGUACUACUUGUUGCCACGGUGAUGACCGUCGCAUAGCAACCUUUCGGUUGCAAACGGCAACAGUAGACAAUGCAUGACGUGUACAUAGAAAUAUUGCAAUGACUUGCACAUAUUUAUUAAAGCUUCACAAAAAAAAGUAUAAAAUCAUGAUUUUUAUCAUUAAUCGAAGAAAUAUUACUUGCUUAGUUUAGAGAAUAAUAAAUGAAUAAUUGAGUAGUUAGGUGACAUGUUGUCCUCGGUUUUGGUGAAAAGUGCCUUAUUUCGUGAGUUGGAUGGUUUUGAUUUCGCUGGGAAACUAUUAUUGAUGGAUGUACAUUUGCAUUGAUGUAAACACGUGCGGACCUGGGAACAAGGUUUUAUAAUACAAAAUACACAGAGCUUAUGGGUUGGAGUGUUCAGAUUGGCCUGGGGCAAGGUUUUAUAAGAAAAACGGUGAUACUCGGUGCUCGAAGUACUGGGUGCCUUGAGGUCCCAUUUCAACUGGUGAGUCUAGCUUACUAGGUGCAAUAACAUGACAAGUACUAGGCACUUGAUGUCCUGCAUUGGUGCAUUGGAACUUGAGGUGCAGUUGUACUGAUUUUAAGUGCACUUGUACUUAAGAUGCAUCAGUUGGCCUUAGCGCACCAAGUACAAGUAUUUUAAUCAGUUCUUGUUACUAUGGAUACAAGCCUUUCAAAAGUGGUGCACUUCAUGUUUUUUUACCACCAAUAUGCAACGUGAACUUUGUUUUGUUGGUAACCGUUGGUAACGGUAUUGUCUUCACUGUAACCGUACGAUGAUUUAGCGAUAGACAACAAUUUGAGAUAUGAAAUUUGAAUUUGAAUCACAGUCUAUAGAAGACUUGUUGUACUUUUUUGUGGUUUGUGUAGUAGAAAUGGCAUUAUAACCAAUGAAUUAUUGGUAAUUUGCCCUUUAAUAAAGGACUGAGUUGUUUAAAAAAAUUAAACUGCAAUUUGAAACAUACCAAUCUUGCAAAAAAAUGAACUUUAGAGCUUCAAAAUGAAUGUCAUGUUGUACUAUUCAGAUGAAUCCUGAAUGUCUUCAAUUUCAAUUUUCUAAACUUCGAAAAUUCCAAAAUUACUCUUGGUCCAUGGAUGUUUGUCAGAUGUGGUCGAUGAUGUUCACAUAUUUUCGAAGAUAAACUUUGGUGCUGAUUUAAUGAUUGUAUGGAGAAAACCUUGUUUAAAAGUACUUUGGAUUUCAAUGUAUCAAGCCUUGCUCAUCAUAGUUACCAUAGUAACCGAUACUAUGGCAACUGGUUUUUGUGUGAGUGUUAUAUGUGUUUACAAUUGGCCAGUUCAUUUGGUCUGAGCAGAGUUCGUGAGGUGCACACUAGUUACCCAACAACACCUUUGUUUGUUGUGAAUUGAAUAACUGUUGUCAUGACGACAAGGUCAAUGUCAUUUCACUGUUGGUUUAUUUCUGGUAACACGAAAAAUGAACGAAACAGUGAAAAUACUUUGUCACAAGAUUUUAGUGAUUUUCAACCGACCACCAGAGAUGUAAAUGUAACACAAGAACCACUGUUGUGCAUCAGUGUUAACCUAUUAAGGGUUGAGGGUGACUACUGUUGUCAAGGACAACACAGUUAACAAGGGCAACUGUUGCUUAGCAACCAAAAAUAAAAAAUAAGAAAACUAAAAGUGACAUAAUCAAACUUAAAUUUUCUAUUGAAUUUCAAUAUUUGGUGCGUAUCAUAAACUUUUGAUGGCAUUGUUGAAAUUUUAAAUAUUUAUUAGGGUGUUGUCCUUCUGGAGCUUCGUCGAUGUCCUCUCACCCCUUUAUGGGCUAAAUGGUUAUGAUAUCAAAAUAUCAGAUGUUUUUAUUUUGUAAAUUUGGCACUUUUCACCCUGAGGACCCCCUGUAUACUUAUAUCGAUGUCGUAAUAGCUUAAACUAUGUGUAGACUACUGUAGCUUCAAUGUUGUAACUAUUAUGGAUGAUUAUCCAUUCUGUAUACUCUAUAUAAUAUAUUUGAAUCAUAUAUCGCCAAAGUUAUAAUAUCAUAUAGAAAGAUCUCUUAUAUUCACUUAUAAAGGUUGCUUAUGUGUAGGUAGAAAAGAUAUAAUUAUUGAUAAUUUAUGCUAAUUCAUUCAAUGAAGCACGUCAUUGUGCAUGUUGUACUGGACAGUACAUUACCUGUCACCCCCUGAUCUUGAAAUGGAACCAUCUGUCCCAACUUGUAGCCCUUGAGAUAGAUUGGUUCAUUCUGAAGACAGGGGUGGUAAGAUUUAAUAUUGUCCUUUGGUCGAGUCGAUGGCAAGUUUUAGGAAUGCUAUGUGGUUGGGUUAAUGUUGUGGAAUGUCGCUAAAAGGGGGCACUGUGUCCAGCUGUCGACCUGCUCGUCAUGUUAAUGUCCUUGAAGAAAAGUUCCACACCUCUUGUGAGACAAAUCAAAACAUAUUUCCGAAUUUGUUAAAACUUUGUUUGCCGUGGUAACUGAGGUCCAAUUUUCAAGGUUGUUGACAAAGCACAUGACAUAUUUUCCACCCAAAUUUUAAACAAAACAUGUUUAAAAUUUUUGAUGGAAUAUAUUUUUUAGACGGGCAGGUCUGGUAAUCAUUACUUUUAUGGUACCUGUUGUGUUGGCGGAACCAGUAGCUGACACCCCUUGGCUGGACAUGGUUCACCCAACAUGCUUUGCAUGGCUUUGUAUAACUAACUGUACUCGGAAUAGUCCAUUUUAAUUCAGGGUGUUCUUGAAUGUUAAUCAAAGCAUUCCACAAACACAGCCUUGUUCCCAGGAGCCAUUUUAAUGCAUACUGUCAUUACUUGAUGUACUGCAAGUGGCUCUUGGGGACACGGCUGACAAGACAAUGGUGCCAUGUUGACAUGUUAAAAAUCUAGUCAUAAUAAACUGUCAAUCAAAAGUACAAGAAAUAAUCAUGUUAGCAACCAGUUGUUAUGACAACUGUUUCUUGGAUACCAGGAUUACCAUAGUGACCUAUCAUGUUUAUUUUUUGUACUUCUAACAGUCUAUUUUAUAUUGAAUGAUUUUAAUUGAUUGUUUUGAAUGAUUUGGGUAGAUGUCCUUGUGAACUGUCCAUUGCAGUGUUAGUUGGCUAAAUAUGCUGUACAUAUCAAAAUGUAAACAUGUGUGUUCUGGCAAGGUUAUGCUGCAGUGGACUUCUGUGUUUUGCUGGAAAUUUGACUGGACAGGACCUCUGGUCAAAAGCUGUCAAUUUUAAUUUUUUUCGAUUAACCCUUUCAGUUCCAAGCUUUUCCUCAGAAAAAUCGUCUGCCUAACUCUACAAACAUUCAAAGUGAGUGACUGAAACUGGUUGGAUUAAGUGCUAUAUAAGUUUCAUGAGUAUCGAUUGUUUGUUAGAAAAACUGAAUACUUGGAAUUAAAAGGGUUAAAACAUACAGUGUCAGAUGAAAGUUUUUCCAAAAAGUAUCUAAAAUUUCAUUAGAAAAAGGAACAAAAUUGGUUAAAGGUCAUCUACAGGACGGUAUGCUUUGUACAUUCCUCGGCCAGGUUGCUCAAAUGGCAUUAGAAGUAACCUUGGUGUUAAAUCCUUAUGCUUAUUGUAAAGGAGAGUUAGUGAUGAAGAUACUUGAGAUAAUGCUGGGUUUGUCUCUAAUGCUGAUGAAGCAACUCUGGACUGAAAAAUCGAAUGCUUUUGUACCUGAUUAUUACAUCGCAAAAUUUUGUGCUAUAAUAAUCUAAGCCUUCAAUCCAAUGGGUGAAAAACGUACAAUUUUGAGAAAAAAAAUAUGACACUGGAUGUAUUACAACAAAUGGUGACGGUUUUCAAGUUUUAGUGGUAAAUGUCUCGCUUUCUUAAACUUGCCAUUGACUCAGCCAGAUAUUUGAAGGGUGUAAAUUUACAAAACUCCAGCUACGAGCAUAUAAUACAUUCUCUAAGUUGAGAGUGUUUAUGACUUGUCAAAUGCUGGGUGGAAUAACGGAACUCGGACACGGUGGCCGUCAAAAAUGUUGGGGUAUGAUUCGGGUAUGUCUUUCUGUAUGUCUUUUUGCGCCCAUGGAAUUUUGGAAUCUGCUUGUGUACACUGGUUUGUUACCCAGCGUUUUCCAAAAUGAUGCGAGUUUUAUUAUGAUGCGAGUUUUAUCAUGAUAUGAGUCUUAUUAUGAUGUGAGUUUCACUUUCAAUCGUUUCAUUCCAAAUUAUGUCAAACUGAAGAAAUAACUGUAUAUAACUAAGCCAUUCCACAUGCUACUGAUGAUCAGAUAUAUAGCCAGUCAUAACCAGUAGUAAGGGAAGUUUAACAUAUCUAUAAACAGCUUUGUUUUAUGUGAUUAGAUUUAUGUUUAUCUUAACAUUCCAUACGUUUGCAUUCCAUAUUGCAUCAUAUCACAAAUAAGUUGUGAUUUCGUAUGAAAUCACUCUAUUAUUUAUUUAUAUUUAUUUUUAUUCAUUGGAGAUUUAGAACACAUUCCACUUCACAGGCAGAAAGGUACAUUGCAGGCGCAAGCAUUUGCUUUCCUUGCAGCAUGAAAGAAAUAUAAAAAUACUAAAUUAUAAUUAUAUACUAAAUUACUAUAUAACCUAUCUAUAAUCAGCACAUGCGCUGCACUUUAAGAAUUUAUGUGACACCCGUUUUGUUCUAAUGGAUCCAUCUAUCGUUAGUUAUUGUCUUUGAGACGGAAUAGUCAACUGGGAUGACAAGGGGGUGGUAAACUCGCAUAAACCACGGCGAAAAGACAUCAGAAGACAUACUCUUAAAAAACAAGGCCUUUGACAGGCCUUGGGUGGGUCAAGGGAGUGUCCAGAGAGAGGGGGGGUUGGGGCCAACUGAGAUGCCAUUUUCAUUGCUUCGAAUGUUUCCUGAUAUGGUAUAUUACGACACUACCAUGACAUUGUUUACGAUUAAUCGCAUUUAUCUAGUUAUCUUUAUUACAUGCAUGAAUUUGCAUAUAUUUGCAUUAUAUUUGCAUAUAGUUGCAUAAAUCUGCAUAUAUUUGCAUAUAUUAGUACUUAAAAUACAUAUCAUUGGCUAUUUUCUAGCCCUUUAUAACUAAUUACGUUUGAAGGUGAGAUUUAGUAGUUUUAACUAUAAAAAACAAUAUAUAACUGGCUUCACUUUUUUGUACAUUGAUAAAAUUGAGCACAGCGCGACCUUGACCUUUGACAUGAGGUCAAGGUCAACUUACAACCUAUGACAUUAGGUCAAGGUCACUUACUCAAAUAAUAAAGGUCAAGGAUCAAGGUUUGUUGUGUUGACGUUGCGAGUUCAGUGUUGUCGAAGUUGAUGUUUUUCAAAUAAACGGGAUAUUUUUGAAAAUUUCCCAAGAUUACGAAGACAAUCUAAUCUAUAUUGUAUCAGUGUUAGAUUGAGUUCAUUUCAUGCUAGGCAUGCUGGGGACACUGUACAUUUAUGAUUACCAUGGUUACUGUUGCUAUGGUGACAUUUCAAAUUGAAACUUUACCUUAGCGACAGGGCUAUUUCUGUCAUAUAUUCAGCUGUUUUACCCAGGCAGCUUGGUGUUAAAUGGACUUUAUGUGUCUAUAAGAUACGCUUAGAAAUCAAAUAUGGGAUGCUAUUUUUAGGAUGACCUUUGACAGCUGACCUUGACCUUUGACCUUGCAAUUGUACAUUCUAAUGACAUGUUAUCCAUAGUUAUGAUUUACUGUUAUGAUCCCUCCUUCAAUGCAGUCAUGUAUUCAGACCGUAGGGUGUUAAGGAAACUCUGAAAACCUUCUGAACUUGUAUAAACUCGGCAAACUUAUACAGAAAUCACUUCAAAAAGUUUCUGAUAAUUGAGGCGAAUUUGUGGACUUUCAGAAUAUGAAGAUACCCUCCUUAAAAGGUUACACUGAACUUCUCCUGAAGACCUCAAUAAACUUUCUAAGAUCAGAAAAAACUUUCUUGAACUUAGAAAGAAUGAACCUUCUAAACAAGUUCUUCGUGAACUUCCUCACUUAGUUAACCCUUGGUCAUCUACAGCUUUACCUCGUGUAUCUCAACCUGUUCACCCCCACUUUCCUGCAUGGACUAUUCUAGUAAAUGCAUUAGAGUAAUCUAUUUGUGGUAGUGGGGGUGGAGAGGUUCAACAUGUUUCUCUUUUGUCUUUUGUUUAUUUAUGUUUUUUGUCGUAUCAUGAGUGUAGCACAUGAAUAUUACGAAUUCCUUUCACUGCUUUAUUUGGGGAACUAAUUGCAUUUAUGGUUUACUUGGUCUCACAAAUGAAACUGGUGAUCAGUCUGGAAAAGAUCCCCAAUCGACCGAUCAUAGCCCGAUCAAGCAGUGACUAGUGAUGUUUACUCUUCAAGGACUUUAGACUUUCUGAGCGGAAAUUUUCUUUUAAAAUUUGUAAACCAUAGUCCAGUCAAUUUUGCCCAAAAGUGAGAACAACACUUUGGACUUUCCUGAAGUCUGACUUUGUAGACAUUUGGUUUGGAACACACAACCCUACCACAAAUAUUGAGCCAUUUGUUCAUAAAUUGACUGGACUAUGAUAGAGUCAGAGCAGUUUAAGAGCCCUAAUUAGUUGUCUGCAGUACUUGAAGAGUAAAUCAGUCAAGUGUCACUGUUUAAGCCUGUGGUGACAUCUAUUGAGAGAAAAUGCAUUUAUCUUUAGGUUUUUUGAUGCCAUAAAAGGGUACCUGCACAAUGGCAUUCCCUUACCGAAGUGCAGUUUUUGCAGAUUGGUAAUUCUUUACCGAAUUGUGUUCAGUUCCUAUGUGCAAUAGCAUAAUUUAUCUAGCAACGAUUUAGAGAAUUAGAAUUUUACACAGUUGUUUUGUUUGUAGAUCUCUUUACUCUAGUAGUUUAAUCAAACAGUGUUAGCUGCCAUUCGAAAAACAAUUUUUGCCCAAAAUCAAAUUUUCAAAAUUUUUCAAGUGUUAUGAAUCAAACAAACUCUUGGAACAUCAAUUGUGACAAUGAUUUAAAUGAAAAAGAUUGAGUAAGAGUGUUUUAGUGCUAGAAUAUGUAAGUUGAAAGUACUGCCGCAAAACCAUGGUAACCGUUACCAUGGUUUCCUGUUGAAUUCUCAAAAACAACAAGUGCAAUAUUUUUUCUUUGAUAUAUAUCUCUCAAAUUUUAGAAGGUAGUUAAAAUGCUUUUGAGAACACUGUAUUUUAUGAUACGAUGUUUACUAUGGUUCAUACUGUGUGUUUCAGAAAACGUGAGAAAAUCUUUGCAGAGGAAAAAAUUAAAUGGGGAACAUUUUCUUAUUAAAUUACUGUUUCCAUAAGUGUGAAGUAGAUAAAAUAUUUGCAUCAUUUUUGGUCAUAGUUGGGAUUCAUAGCAAAUAUGAUGAUUUCUGACUUUUUCAAAUGUCAAAAUCUGCUUUUAAAAGGCACAACUGAUAUUGAAAUACACAGCAUGCACUGUACAAUACACUGUAAAUUAUAUAGCUGCAUUAUAUUCUAGUUAUAACUUAUUUAUUUAAAAACUAUGUACAUUUGGUGACCAAGUCAUUCAUUUCAUCUUUUUGAGUUCGGAAACUUUUGGGAAAUGCGAAAAUGUGAGAAAUUUCAACAUUUAAAGUGUUCUUAAAAUUUUCCUGGCUUUAGAGGUGUAUUUAUUCUCUUUUCUCUUAUUUAUUACAUUGACAUGUAUCCUCUCUUAUUCUGCACGCUACACUAUUGCAAAGGACUGGGGGUAGCAACAGUUGCCAUGGACAUAGUUGCCAGGCAACAAUUUUUUCUCUCAGAAACUCCGCAAUCAGUCCUUUUAUAGUUGAAUUCUAUUUACCACUAGGGCAAUAUGUAACUCUGUAGAUAACUCUUACCAAAGAAAGAAAAUAGAAAUAAAAAAUAGACAUGAAUAAAUGAUAGUUUUAUGAUGAAAUUUUUAGUAGUUUCUGAUAUGAUCUAGAGUCUAGUUCAUUUUAAUUUGGGAGUGAGUCGCAGUGCAUUUGAUAGAGAA